rnacentral:rRNA from 1 species
GAAUUGACGGGGCCGCACAAGCGGUGGAGCAUGUGGUUUAAUUCGACGCAACGCGAAGAACCUUACCAGGGCUUGACAUCCCCUGACCGCGUAUGAAAGUACGUUUUCACCCUCGGGUGACAGGGAGACAGGUGGUGCAUGGUUGUCGUCAGCUCGUGUCGUGAGAUGUUGGGUUAAGUCCCGCAACGAGCGCAACCCCUACGUUUAGUUGCUAACGCGUGAAGGCGAGCACUCUAGACGAACUGCCGUUGACAAAACGGAGGAAGGUGGGAUGACGUCAAAUCAUCAUGCCCCUUAUGUUCUGGGCUACACACGUGCUACAAUGGCCGGUACAGACGGACGCAAAGCCGCGAGGUGGAGCAAAUCCUAAAAAGCCGGUCUCAGUUCGGAUUGCAGGCUGCAAUUCGCCUGCAUGAAGUCGGAAUCGCUAGUAAUCGCAGGUCAGCAUACUGCGGUGAAUACGUUCCCGGGCCUU